rnacentral:rRNA from 1 species
UACGGAGGGUGCAAGCGUUAAUCGGAAUUACUGGGCGUAAAGCGCACGCAGGCGGUCUGUCAAGUCGGAUGUGAAAUCCCCGGGCUCAACCUGGGAACUGCAUUCGAAACUGGCAGGCUAGAGUCUUGUAGAGGGGGGUAGAAUUCCAGGUGUAGCGGUGAAAAGCGUAGAGAUCUGGAGGAAUACCGGUGGCGAAGGCGGCCCCCUGGACAAAGACUGACGCUCAGGUGCGAAAGCGUGGGGAGCAAACAGG